AUUUUGGGUUGCUGUCAACACCCCAAAAAAAAAGUUCGCAGCCUGAACUGACAGACCCAAAAUUUUAUCGUUCGGAAUUUGUUUCGUUUGUUGGCGCCAUGCCGUUUGUAUUUGGUGCAAGUCUAUUUUUUUCAAGGAAAAUCGUACGAAAAAUCCAUUAUCAAUUGCGAAAAUUUGAUCAUUAAAAUUGGAGGACUGGAUCAACAAAUAAUAAGGGGAACCACAUAAAUAGAAAGCGAAGCUUGAAUUGAGGCACCAUGAGUAUAAUGAAC